rnacentral:rRNA from 1 species
CACGUAGGCGGACUGGAAAGUUGGAGGUGAAAUCCCAGGGCUCAACCUUGGAACUGCCUUCAAAACUAUCAGUCUGGAGUUCGAGAGAGGUGAGUGGAGUUCCGAGUGUAGAGGUGAAAUUCGUAGAUAUUCGGAGGAACACCAGUGGCGAAGGCGGCUCACUGGCUCGAUACUGACGCUGAGGUGCGAAAGCGUGGGGAGCAAACA